AUUGAACGCUGGCGGCAGGCCUAACACAUGCAAGUCGAACGAGUGGCGGACGGGUGAGUAAUGUCUGGGAAACUGCCCGAUGGAGGGGGAUAACUACUGGAAACGGUAGCUAAUACCGCAUACCAUCGGAUGUGCCCAGAUGGGAUUAGCUAGUAGGUGGGGUAAUGGCUCACCUAGGCGACGAUCCCUAGCUGGUCUGAGAGGAUGACCGGCCAAACUGGAACUGAGAAACGGUCCAGACUCCUACGGGAGGCAGCAGUGGGGAAUAUUGGACAAUGGGGGAAAGCCUGAUGCAGCCAUGCCGCGUGUAUGAAGAAGGCCUUCGGGUGGUAAAGUACUUUCAGCGGGGAGGCGGUACUCGCAGAGGAAGCACCGGCUAACUCCGUGCCAGCCGCCGCGGUAAUAC
rnacentral:rRNA from 1 species